CUCAAAUUUGAGCAGAUCUGUGCCUCAAAGAACUUUGAGAAAUAUUGAAAGUUUCCUGAAACUCAGGCCCUGAGAACCUUUGCUGGAAGGGUCUGUGACUGACAUAAUCACCCCUCGUCGUCUGUCAUCCUCACCCACCAUCGUGCCAUGGGAAUACAGCAUGCUGAGCUUGGUCCGAGAGAAACGCGCCUGAUCGUCUCGCGGUCUGACGGAAGCCCAGCUUCUCUCGGGUAUGAUGCCUGCUCCAGGGUUUCACCCGCAUCAGCUGCUUACUUUGCAGCUCUCUGUUGUCGUAACAUCAAGGUUCUCGGUUGCAAACAACAGGCUCAGUCUGUCCCUAACUUAGACAGAAAUGGAAUUUCUUGGAAAGACAAAGGACAGAGAAUCAGGCAAGAACAGGCAGAACCCUGGGGAGGUUUGUCACAGAAACGGUCUGGCGCGGCUGUGGCAGGACACUGGACGCGCUGUGGUAGACUCUCGCCACCAACACUGCUGUGCCGUCCCCUGGCCCUACUUGGGCAGUCCAAGUGCUGAGCCCGGCCCUCGCCCUGAAGAGGCUGGGAAGAAGGAACUUCUGGUUUCCUGUGGCUUCAGUAGUGCGCGCCGCCUCCUGCAAAGACUCACAUGGUAGAGAACAUUCCCCAAUGAGACGGACGAAAGUGGAAGAGCAUGGCGAGUGGCCACUGCAGCCGCUCCUCUCAAAACUGCACCACUGCGACUUCUCAGAUGUCUCGUGGUGGGGAGAAUGGGUAUAGUUACUGCCUACUGAGUGAUUACUACGUGCCUGGAUUGCUCGAAGCACUUUGUGUGGAUUCUUAUAUCACCCUCAUGAUAACUCAACAAGACAGCAAAUCAGUGAGAAUAAGCUAGACUAUGGUGCAAAGUCUCAAUGGCUUCACCCAACACACGUCUAUUUUUGUGCUCAUGUUGAGUCCACUGCAGACCUGGGCAGCCAUUCUCCAUAUGGCAGGUCAGGCCCCAUCCUCCGUCCUCCACCCUCCAUCCUCCACGUGGAGGCUCAGCCCCCACCCUCCAUCCUCCACAUGGAAGCUCAGCCCCCGUCCUCCAUCCUCCAUCCUCCAUCCUCCACAUGGAGGCUCAGCCCCCACCCUCCAUCCUCCAUCCUCCACAUGGAGGCUCAGCCCCCAUCCUCCAUCCUCCACAUGGAGGCUCAGCCCCCAUCCUCCAUCCCCCAUCCUCCACUUGGAGGCUCAGCCCCCAUCCUCCAUCCCCCACAUGGAGGCUCAGCCCCCAUCCUCCAUCCCCCAUCCUCCACAUGGAGGCUCAGCCCCCAUCCUCCAUCCUCCACAUGGAGGCUCAGCCCUCAUCCUCUAUCCUCUACUCAGAAGCUCGGCCCUCGACCUGCAUCCUCUAACUAAUAAUGAGUGUUGGCAGGGAUAUGAAGAAAUUGGAAGCCUUAUACAUUGUGAGUGAGGAUGGAAAAUGGUGCAGCUGCUUAGAAAUUCCUUUAAAAUACUAAAUGUAGAAUUAUCCUAUGACUCAGAAACUCCACUUCUAUGUAUGCGCCCAAGAGGAAAGAAAACUUAUGUCCACAAAAACUUGUACGUGAAUGUUCUUAGCCAUACUGCUCAUAACAGCAAAAAGUGGAAACAACCCAAAUGUCAGCUUAUGAACGGAUGUAUCAAGUGUAGUAUAUUCACAUCGUGGAAUACUGUUUGGCAAUAAAAGGAAAUGAAGUACUG
rnacentral:lncRNA from 1 species